UACGGAGGAUGCAAGCGUUAUCCGGAUUCAUUGGGUUUAAAGGGUGCGUAGGCGGGCUAUUAAGUCAGUGGUGAAAUCCUGCAGCUUAACUGCAGAACUGCCGUUGAUACUGAUAGUCUUGAGUUUGGUUAAGGUAGGCGGAAUGUGUAAUGUAGCGGUGAAAUGCUUAGAUAUUACACAGAACACCAAUUGCGUAGGCAGCUUACUGAGCCGACACUGACGCUGAGGCACGAAAGCGCGGGGAGUCAAACAGGAUUA
rnacentral:rRNA from 1 species